AACCUUAUGGACCUGCGGGCGUAUACCUGCGGAAGGAUCAUUAUCGAGUUCUGCUCCCCGGAGCGUCCUCCCAACCCUUUGUUUACUUGACCACUUGUUGCUUCGGCGGACCGGUCUUUAGCUGACCGCCGGCACUUUGCAAAGAGGUGCUGGACAGUUGUCCGUCGACGGCUCAAAUCAAAAACAUAUUCUUGUACCGAAACGUGUCGUCUAAAAAAAUUCUUGAUGUACAAUCAAAAA
rnacentral:misc_RNA from 1 species